rnacentral:lncRNA from 1 species
GGGGUGACUGCCCUCCUGCUGGCAGCUGUUUCCUGGGUCCCUGAGCCUGAGCAGAAGGUUCACAGGGACCUCGGAUGGGCUACCUGUAAAGGCCCAUGCUCACCGUUAGGGCACCAGGGUCCUGGUGGUGAUCGGGAGCCAGAUGGACCCGGAGCAGAAGCCCCUCAACUUUGGGGUCCUUCUAGCAGGCCCCCCUUCUCUCCUGGAGUCCCUCAGCCUCCACAGAAGGGCCUGGCCCCCCCAUGGCCUCAGAAGGUGACUGAGCGUUGGCCUGCAGAAUGGGUACUUCAGUGGCCGGCAGGAGGUGGCGCUCGCUCAUUGGCGGCCUUUUCUUGCAUUCCACCCGUGGCCGCUGGCUCUGUGCUUCCCUCCCCCAGGACGGCCUGGUGUGUCAGCUGUUCCCAUCUCUGCCAAGGCAAAAUUAGAAUGUGCAGCUCCCGCCGAGAGGGUGGAUUUAACCAAGCUCCCUGCUGGUUGGCCUGCCCGGGCCCUUCCAAGCGGCUGACAGGAGGUCGGGGAGAGAGAAUGCAGGGCUUGUGCCCACGACAUUCUGGGCGACAAGGACAUCUUCUCUGGGCUGGCUGCUUGCAGCUCGGACACAGUCUUCCCCCGCACUUGGAGCCGCUAGUGGAGGACAGCAGGCACGGCCGCUGCUUCUCCGGCCUGGCUCAGAGUGGGCUCUCCAGUGUGAGCGAGGGACUUCCAGAGCACUCUUCCCUGGACCAGGGGCUCGGUGGGGGCCAUGAGGACUGCUCCGAGUCCACUAAUGGGAAUGAACGGCCUAUAGCAGCGGUAGGAGGUGCUGCGUGUCGUGCCUACAGACUCGUGUGUCCUUCUUGGUCAUCGGGGUGCAGUAGCGGCUUGGGGCCCAGCAGUACUGACAGCAGCCCCUUCGGGAGCCGGGUGGAGCAGAAUCAGUGCUCCUGGCAGCCAGGCAGCCAGUUGGCAGGCCUCCACCUGUGCACGGUCAUCGCCCGCUGCCUCCCCUCCCUGCAGCAGGCUGAAGACCAGUGCUCUGCAUCUCGGGCUCCCCGAGCCACUGCUAUUUUUGUGAUGCGUGAUUCACACUUGCUUAUUGUCGGAGCCUAUGAUGCUUCACCUUGGUACCUUACUGAGAGCACAGUAAAAGGAAAGAUGAGCUACUAAUAAAAUGUCAGAAGAAAAUGUCAAUAAGAAUCACUCAAAAAAAAAAAAGGCCGAUGUUAUUGUACAUCCUCUCAGUGAAUUCCGUCUAAUUAGUCAAAUAAAUAUGUUGUCCUCCCACUUGGGUGUGUGUUU